rnacentral:rRNA from 1 species
UAGCUAUGUACGGAAUGGAUAAGCGCUGAAAGCAUCUAAGCGCGAAGCCAACUUCAAGAUAAGAUUUCCCACCGCAAGGGUAAGACCCCAGAAAGACUAUCUGGUUGAUAGGUCGAAGGUGUAAGUGCAGCAAUGUAUUUAGCUUAUCGAUACUAAUAGGUCGAGGACUUGACCAAU